rnacentral:misc_RNA from 1 species
GAUGAAGAACGCAGUGAAAUGCGAUACGUAAUGUGAAUUGCACAAUUCAGUGAAUCAUCGAGUCUUUGAACGCACAUUGCGCCCCCUGGUAUUCCGGGGGGCAUGCCUGUCCGAGCGUCAUUGCUGCCCUCAAGCACGGCUUGUGUGUUGGGCCUCCGUCCUCCUCCCGGGGGACGGGCCCGAAAGGCAGCGGCGGCACCGCGUCCGGUCCUCGAGCGUAUGGGGCUUCGUCACCCGCUCUUGUAGGCCCGGCCGGCGCUUGCCGACACAUCAAUCUUUUUUCCAGGUUGACCUCGGAUCAGGUAGGGAUACCCGCUGAACUUAAGCAUAUCAAUAAGCGGAGGA